AUCGUUCUUUCCUUCUCUCAGAAAAAAAAAAGCGGUCCUUCCUCUGCUGUUAUCUUUCUUCCUUCUUCCUCAAAUUUUGGUUUUGGUCUUCAUUGUUUGUAGGUUCGGUGUGAUCAAAAUGAUUCAGAUCGAUUGAAGCAAUAAAAGGAUUGAAGCAAUGAAAGGUGCGAAUUCGUCGUCAUCUUUAACAACUUCGUCAUCUAAAUGGUUUUAUGGAGCCUCCAAUCACGCUCCAAGUUCACCUGCGUCUUCGUCAAUGCGUAGGAAGCCGUAACAGUUAUAUCCAGAGGUUGUGCCAUUGGAUUCUCAUAAAACUAAAUAGAAUGUAACUGUGACGGUUCGAUUUUGGUCUUUCAAAUCUACUUCACACAUUUAGCUAUUUGCCGCUGGAUCUUAAUUUCAUCGAUCAUACCAGUGACAUUGGAUGGAAAGAUCAUCAACGUGCAAGGCCUAUAAUUGCUGAUCCGGGGUUGUACAUGAAUAAGAAGCAAGAUGUGUUUUGGAUUACACAGGAGAAGUAGACCAGCUGCUUUCAAGCUUUUCACAGGAUCUGUUGUUCAACCUGAGAAAAUAUGAAGCAGUAUCAAUUUUACACAGGGUCAGUUAAUUUUAGGACAACUCAUUUAAAAUAGGACACCUGGAAGGAGUGAGUGUCUGUGGGAUUGAAAAUCUUCAUACCGGUUAAAGCUUUCAAUCAAGAGAAAGAUUUGAUACAGUGGCUACUAAACUCUCAAUUGCUAAGAAAGUUUUCAAUCAAGAGAAAGAUUUGAUACUUAAUUCGAGCUCCUUUCAGCAGUUCUUUUCUGAGAAUGAGGGUUGGGUUGGUUGAAACCCUAUGUUGCCUUCUGUUUCUUAAAAGACUUAUUUGAAACAUCAGAACGAAGUCAAUGGGGCCGUUUUGCUCAAUACUCAGAAGAUAAGUUAGAGAAACUUUUAUCCAAGGAAAGUCGGCAUUAUGAGAUAAUUUGCUUCCACUACUAUGUUCAAUACCAUCUACAUCUACAUCUACAAUUGUUCGAAGCUUCAGAAUACGCAAGAAAUAAGGGAGUGAUUCUAAAAGGAGAUCUUCCCAUUGGAGUUUAUCCAAAUUUGUUCCGAAUGAACACUUCUAUUGAGGCACCUCCUGAUUAUUUUGAUAAAAAUGGCCACAAUUGAGGCUUUCCUACUUAUAACUGGGAGGAGAUGUCAAAAGAUAACUAUGAUUGGUGGCGAGCUCGAUUAACACAGGUUUUGGUUUUGAAUUCUUGGUUGUCCUGUUCUUCACUGGAAAAUAAUCUCUGCAGAUGACCCUGAAGUUGAAGAUGAUGAAGAUUUCAUUUUGGUAAAUCCACCAACAUCUUUGGACUUUGUAAGCCCUGAUUUAGUGCUAGAAUUUCCAACAUGGCCAAGCUUCAAAUCAGCAAAAAAAUUCAUUAGCACACAUUAAGAAACAAAACCAUAGAGAAUAAUCCAUGUACUGCCAUGCCAUGGGCGCCAAAAUGCUUCAUCAUUAUUAAGAAACAAAACUAUAGGAAUAAUCAUGCUUGCUGCAUUUAUUCAUUUAUUUGACUCAAGAAUGCAUUUCUUCAUCAUCUCUUCUCUACUAAUGAAGCACAAGUAAUUCUUCUUUAUAUUUAAAGUGAGUAGCAUAUUCUUGAGAGGUAGGAUCAUAAACCAUAUCACAUCAAGUUCACCAUUUCCGUACGAUCGGAUCAUUCUUGCUAUUAUAGCUAAACAUGGCACGCUUAGAAAACUUUACCAUGUAUGCCAAAGACUGUGCAGCUGCUGCUCUGAAAGGUAUGGUUAGCACUUGAGUUUAUUCAAAGCAUACAUUUCAGAGCAGCAGCUGCAGAGUAGCAGCUGCAGUCUUUACUAUUUCUACGCAUUGAGUUUACAUGGAGUCGGACAUAUUUAAUUCAGUUGUCUAUGUGCAUAAUUUGAAUUGGCUUGGCUUUUGUCAAUCUGCAUUUCCGGCUGUGAAAACUGAAUUAACUGUCAUUGAUUUCCUGGGCUUUACUUGGAAGUUGUUUAUGGAAUUCUGUCAUAAUGAACAGCUGUCAUGUGAUUUUUCUGGUGAAUGGCAAACAUUGUGCAACGCGCGUAAGUUGAUUGAAGGAGCAAAUAUCAAAUUAGGUGUCACGGGAGCAGCUAACAAUGGGGACAUAGGGUUGUCUAUCAUUGUGCGCCUCCAAUGUUGGUGUUGAGAACAAAAAUGCCUCCAUCAGCAAGCACUGGAGGAAAUGGUCCAUCUUAUCAAUUUAAGCACUAUUUCUGGAAGAAUUAGUAAUAUUAAUCAUGUCGCUUUAUAUUUUUGUUUUCAAAGCAUUAGAGUGGUUCUAUUCUGAGUUGAGAAAUGUACUCUAUUGGUUGUGUGUACUUUUUAGCACUUUAGUGAUUUGAUGAUUAAGUAAUCAACAAAUUGUGAGAUGUACUCUUAUUAGUUGCCUUAUGUACUUUCUGCUGCCAAGUUCGGCAUUAAGGAAAAAUUAUCAUUAUCUUUGGUAUAA